rnacentral:misc_RNA from 1 species
UACAGAGGGUGCAAGCGUUGUUCGGAAUUAUUGGGCGUAAAGAGCAUUUAGGUGGCCCUGUUAGUCAGGUGUGAAAUCCCACGGCUUAACCGUGGAACUGCGCUUGAAACGGCAGGGCUUGAGUGAGGUAGAGGAGAACGGAAUUCCCAGUGUAGAGGUAAAAUUCGUAGAUAUUGGGAGGAACACCAGAAGCGAAGGCGGUUCUCUGGGCCUCAACUGACACUGUCGUGCGAAAGCGUGGGGAGCAAACAGG